GCAGCAGUGGGGAAUCUUGCGCAAUGGCCGAAAGGCUGACGCAGCGACGCCGCGUGUGGGAUGACGCCUUUCGGGGUGUAAACCACUGUUGCCCGGGACGAACAGCCAGUUUCGACUGGCCUGACGGUACCGGGUGAGGAAGCACCGGCUAACUCCGUGCCAGCAGCCGCGGUAAU
rnacentral:rRNA from 1 species